GUCUACGGCCAUGCCGCCCUGAACAAUUCCAAUGUCUGAUCUUGGAAGCUAAGCAGGGUCAGGCCUGGUUAGUACUUGGAUGGGAGACCACCUAGGAAGACCAGGUGCUGUAGGCA
rnacentral:rRNA from 1 species